rnacentral:rRNA from 1 species
AGCAGCCGCGGUAAUUCCAGCUCCAAUAGCGUAUAUUAAAGUUGUUGCAGUUAAAAAGCUCGUAGUUGAAUUUCGGGGUCAAUAAGUUGGUCGUGCCAAUGGUAUGUACUGGCUUUAUUGAUUCCUACCUCUUGACGAACUGUGAUGCCAUUAAUUUGGUGUUGCAGGAAAUCAGGACUGUUACCUUGAAAAAAUUAGAGUGUUUAAAGCAGGCUUACGCUUGAAUACAUUAGCAUGGAAUAAUGAAAUAGGACGUUUGAUCCUAUUUUGUUGGUUUCUAGGAUCGACGUAAUGAUUAAUAGGGACAGUUGGAGGCAUUAGUAUUCAAUUGUCAGAGGUGAAAUUCUUGGAUUUAUUGAAGACUAACUACUGCGAAAGCAUUUGCCAAGGAUGUUUUCAUUAAUCAAGAAUGAAAGUUAGGGGAUCGAAGACGAUCAGAUACCGUCGUAGUCUUAACCAUAAACUAUGCCGACUAGGGAUCGGAUGAUGUUAAUUUUUUAAUGACUCAUUCGGCGCCUUACG